rnacentral:rRNA from 1 species
UGGGGAAUAUUGGACAAUGGGCGCAAGCCUGAUCCAGCCAUGCCGCGUGAGUGAUGAAGGCCCUAGGGUUGUAAAGCUCUUUCACCGGUGAAGAUAAUGACGGUAACCGGAGAAGAAGCCCCGGCUAACUUCGUGCCAGCAGCCGCGGUAAUACGAAGGGGGCUAGCGUUGUUCGGAUUUACUGGGCGUAAAGCGCACGUAGGCGGACUUUUAAGUCAGGGGUGAAAUCCCGGGGCUCAACCCCGGAACUGCCUUUGAUACUGGAAGUCUUGAGUAUGGUAGAGGUGAGUGGAAGUCCGAGUGUAGAGGUGAAAUUCGUAGAUAUUCGGAGGAACACCAGUGGCGAAGGCGGCUCUCUGGACCAUUACUGACGCUGAGGUGCGAAAGCGUGGGGAGCAAACAGG